rnacentral:rRNA from 1 species
GUUGGUUAAUACCUAACAGCUGUGACGUUACCCACAGAAGAAGCACCGGCUAACUCCGUGCCAGCAGCCGCGGUAAUACGGAGGGUGCAAGCGUUAAUCGGAAUUACUGGGCGUAAAGCGUGCGCAGGCGGUCUGUUAAGCGAGAUGUGAAAGACCCCGGGCGUCAACCUGGGAACUGCAUUUCGAACUGGCAGACUAGAGUCUUGUAGAGGGGGUAGAAUUCCAGGUGUAGCGGUGAAAUGCGUAGAGAUCUGGAGGAAUACCGGUGGCGAAGGCGGCCCCCCUGGACAAAGACUGACGCUCAGGCACGAAAGCGUGGGGAGCAAACAGGAUUAGAUACCUGGUAG